GCUCCAGCCAUUCCCUGGGCCCUCUCACUGCUCACACAGAGCAGAGAUGGUGCUGCCCCUUGUGAAGGAGCUGUAAACCCAGUGAGUCUCCCCUCAGUCUCCUCCAGGCUGAACAAACCAGCUGAUCCUCCUAUGGCCCCUCCAGACCCCUCACCAUCUUUGUGGCCCUGUUGCACCUGUAUAUGUUUCCUCUUUUUUUUUUUCCUGGGGUUCAGCACUGCCCAGUUUCAGUGCCAGUGCAGAGGGGAGGAGGCUGUAGCAGCACGUUCUGCAGCACUCAGCAAACAUCACCUCUAACCCUCUCUUAGCCACUUGUCCUUUUUUAAUUUAAGCUUUGUUCACAGUCCUCACCUUUGAGUUUGCAGUGGGCUCGUGGCUCCGCACAGUUCCCAGGCACAGACCAAUAGUUCCUGUUUGUGCCUGAAUCCCAAGCUCCAGAGUGCUUAAUAGUCCUGCUUUUUGUGCACAGGUGGAUGAAAAGCUCCUCACAAGUGUUUAUUAAGUUGACUUUCAACCCGUUUGAUCUUAACUUGCCUCUGCUUGAGCCUGAGGUCAGCAAAGCUUUUGCAGGGUUUUUCAUGAGGAACAAUGUGUGAUCUUAGAGGGCCCCUCUGUCCAAGAGGAAGCUGCUCUGCAGACCUGCCUCCUCCUCCCUGGGCUGAAGGUCACCUCAAAGUUGUCAGGAGCCUGCAGCACAAUUCUGUGGAGUUGAGUUGAAGCACUUUGCCAACAUGAACUUCUCCAGGAGUCUGCCAGGAAAUCACUGGGAGUCCUGGCAGGUUUUUUUAAAGGGGAGGAUGAAAAAGACUCAAUCUAGUUUGUUGUUUUCCUCAGGGAAAUCCAAUCUUAGUUAAUCUACUCCAUUGCCUUUUGUUUCAAUCUAAUUUUCUGGAAAUGUUCCCAAUUAGGUCCCAGGGGACAUGGGACCAAUGAUUUUUUCAUUACCUUUUUUUUUUUUUUUCAUUUGAAAGCUGGAAUCUGCUAAUGCAGAGAAUAAUGGGACUAGUUACUGUAAGCAAAUUAAACUCCUAUUUGCUGCA